rnacentral:lncRNA from 1 species
AAGACAACUAGUAGCAGGUGUGUCUCACCUGAGGUCCGCUGUCGGCUGAUCUGAUUGGUGGCUCUGAUAUCAUGUAAGGCCCCGCCUCCAUCUCACUGAGAAACCCCCCCCACCAAUGAAUCAGUCAGUUAAUCAAAUCAGUCAAACAUCAAUGGUUGAGAUGUAUCUGUGUAUCUGUGUGGCGUCCAUAGUCACGGCAACUCACCCUGGCGGCGGUGGCUCGUUGUGAUUGGCCAAGUGCCGUGGCUCCGCCCGGUGUCGUUCAGGGGUGGGGUCAGGAGAGAUUGACACCUCAGGUGGUCCAAUCGGUGGGGUCUGAAUGGGCAGGCUUUGUGUCAGGGUGACGGAAGGAGGAGUGAGGGGGUCCAGCUGGCGAGCGUUGGCCAAUAGGGGGUCCUGCUGGCGAGCGUUGGCCAAUAGGGGGUCCUGCUGGCGAGCGUUGGCCAAUAGGGGGUCCUGCUGGCGAGCGUUGGCCAAUAGGGGGUCCCUGCUGGCGGCGUUGGCCAAUAGGGGGGUCCUGCUGGCGAGCGUUGGCCAAUAGGGGGUCCUGCUGGCGAGCGUUGGCCAAUAGGGGGUCCUGCUGACGAGCGUUGGCCAAUAGGGGGUCCUGCUGGCGUGAGCUGGCCAAUAGGGGGUCCUGCUGGCGAGCGUUGGCCAAUAGGGGGUCCUGCUGGCGUGAGCUGGCCAAUAGGGGGUCCUGCUGGCGUGAGCCGAGGGUUCUGAAUGGCUGAGGCCGUGCUGGGGGCGGGGCAGACUGCUGCAGGGUUUUGUUUCGUGCUGGUUUGGUGUAACCAGACUCAUUCUUAAAGUUAUUCACUGCCUGAGGGGAGAGAGAGAGACACCGAGAGAGAGGGGAGAGAGAGAGAGAGACACACACCGAGAGAGAGGGGAGAGAGAGACACACCGAGAGAGAGAGAGAAAGAGAGAGAGACACACACCGAGAGAGAAAGAGAGAGAGAGAGAGAGAGACCGAGACCGAGAGAGAGACACACCGAGAGAGAGACACACCGAGAGAGAGACACACCGAGAGAGAGACACACCGAGAGAGAGACACACCGAGAGAGAGACACACCGAGAGAGA